GACGAACGCUGGCGGCGUGCCUAAUACAUGCAAGUAGAACGCACAGUUUAUACCGUAGCUUGCUACACCAUAAACUGUGAGUUGCGAACGGGUGAGUAACGCGUAGGUAACCUGCCUGGUAGCGGGGGAUAACUAUUGGAAACGAUAGCUAAUACCGCAUAAUAUUGAUUAUUGCAUGAUAAUUGAUUGAAAGAUGCUAUUGCAUCACUACCAGAUGGACCUGCGUUGUAUUAGCUAGUAGGUGAGGUAACGGCUCACCUAGGCGACGAUACAUAGCCGACCUGAGAGGGUGAUCGGCCACACUGGGACUGAGACACGGCCCAGACUCCUACGGGAGGCAGCAGUAGGGAAUCUUCGGCAAUGGACGAAAGUCUGACCGAGCAACGCCGCGUGAGUGAAGAAGGUGUUCGGAUCGUAAAGCUCUGUUGUAAGAGAAGAACGGGUGUGAGAGUGGAAAGUGCACACUGUGACGGUAUCUUACCAGAAAGGGACGGCUAACUACGU
rnacentral:rRNA from 1 species